UCUGCCUGGUAGUGGGGGAUAACGUCCGGAAACGGGCGCUAAUACCGCAUACGUCCUGAGGGAGAAAGUGGGGGAUCUUCGGACCUCACGCUAUCAGAUGAGCCUAGGUCGGAUUAGCUAGUUGGUGGGGUAAAGGCCUACCAAGGCGACGAUCCGUAACUGGUCUGAGAGGAUGAUCAGUCACACUGGAACUGAGACACGGUCCAGACUCCUACGGGAGGCAGCAGUGGGGAAUAUUGGACAAUGGGCGAAAGCCUGAUCCAGCCAUGCCGCGUGUGUGAAGAAGGUCUUCGGAUUGUAAAGCACUUUAAGUUGGGAGGAAGGGCAGUAAGUUAAUACCUUGCUGUUUUGACGUUACCAACAGAAUAAGCACCGGCUAACUUCGUGCCAGCAGCCGCGGUAAUACGAAGGGUGCAAGCGUUAAUCGGUAUUACUGGGCGUAAAGCGCGCGUAGGUGGUUCAGCAAGUUGGAUGUGAAAUCCCCGGGCUCAACCUGGGAACUGCAUCCAAAACUACUGAGCUAGAGUACGGUAGAGGGUGGUGGAAUUUCCUGUGUAGCGGUGAAAUGCGUAGAUAUAGGAAGGAACACCAGUGGCGAAGGCGACCACCUGGACUGAUACUGACACUGAGGUGCGAAAGCGUGGGAGCAAACAGGAUUAGAUACCCUGGUAGUCCACGCCGUAAACGAUGUCGACUAGCCGUUGGGAUCCUUGAGAUCUUAGUGGCGCAGCUAACGCGAUAAGUCGACCGCCUGGGGAGUACGGUCGCAAGGUUAAAACUCAAAUGAAUUGACGGGGGCCCGCACAAGCGGUGGAGCAUGUGGUUUAAUUCGAAGCAACGCGAAGAACCUUACCUGGCCUUGACAUGCUGAGAACUUUCCAGAGAUGGAUUGGUGCCUUCGGGAACUCAGACACAGGUGCUGCAUGGCUGUCGUCAGCUCGUGUCGUGAGAUGUUGGGUUAAGUCCCGUAACGAGCGCAACCCUUGUCCUUAGUUACCAGCACCUCGGGUGGGCACUCUAAGGAGACUGCCGGUGACAAACCGGAGGAAGGUGGGGAUGACGUCAAGUCAUCAUGGCCCUUACGGCCAGGGCUACACACGUGCUACAAUGGUCGGUACAAAGGGUUGCCAAGCCGCGAGGUGGAGCUAAUCCCAUAAAACCGAUCGUAGUCCGGAUCGCAGUCUGCAACUCGACUGCGUGAAGUCGGAAUCGCUAGUAAUCGUGAAUCAGAAUGUCACGGUGAAUACGUUCCCGGGCCUUGUACACACCGCCCGUCACACCAUGGGAGUGGGUUGCUCCAGAAGUAGCUAGUCUAACCGCAAGGGGGACGGUUACCACGGAGUGAUUCAUGACUGGGGUGAAGUCGUAACAAGGUA
rnacentral:rRNA from 1 species